GCUCGGCCUCGACCAGCGGGGCGAUGUCGACGCCGUUCACGACGACGUUGCUCAGCUCGCCGGAGAUCUCGACGUCGAUCAGCUCGACGCCGCGCA
rnacentral:tRNA from 1 species